rnacentral:rRNA from 1 species
ACCGCGAUAGGCCAAGGCUUCUGGAAUGAACCAUGGCCGAAACCUAUACGGCCCCUGGAUUGGACUGCGGCCGAUCAGGCUGUUGGUGAGGUAAUGGCCCACCAAACCUGUAACCGGUACGGGCUUUGAGAGAAGGAGCCCGGAGAUGGGCACUGAGACAAGGGCCCAGGCCCUAUGGGGCGCAGCAGGCGCGAAACCUCUGCAAUAGGCGAAAGCUUGACAGGGUUACUCUGAGUGAUGUCCGUUAAGGGCAUCUUUUGGCACCUCUAAAAAUGGUGCAGAAUAAGGGGUGGGCAAGUCUGGUGUCAGCCGCCGCGGUAAUACCAGCACCCCGAGUGGUCGGGACGAUUAUUGGGCCUAAAGCAUCCGUAGCUUGUUCUGCAAGUCCUCCGUUAAAUCCACCUGCUCAACAGAUGGGCUGCGGAGGAUACUACAGGGCUAGGAGGCGGGAGAGGCAAGCGGUACUCAGUGGGUAGGGGUAAAAUCCUCUGAUCCACUGAAGACCACCAGUGGCGAAGGCGGCUUGCCAGAACGCGCUCGACGGUGAGGGAUGAAAGCUGGGGGAGCAAACCGGAUUAGAUACCCGGGUAGUCCCAGCUGUAAACGAUGCAGACUCGGUGAUGGGUUGGCUUUGCGCCAACCCAGUGCCGCAGGGAAGCCGUUAAGUCUGCCGCCU